rnacentral:rRNA from 1 species
CCUACGGGAGGCAGCAGUGAGGAAUAUUGGUCAAUGGACGAGAGUCUGAACCAGCCAAGUAGCGUGAAGGAUGACUGCCCUAUGGGUUGUAAACUUCUUUUAUAUGGGAAUAAAAUGUUCCACGUGUGGGAUUUUGUAUGUACCAUAUGAAUAAGGAUCGGCUAACUCCGUGCCAGCAGCCGCGGUAAUACGGUGGAUCCGAGCGUUAUCCGGAUUUAUUGGGUUUAAAGGGAGCGUAGGUGGAUUGUUAAGUCAGUUGUGAAAGUUUGCGGCUCAACCGUAGAAUUGCAGUUGAAACUGGCAGUCUUGAGUACAGUAGAGGUGAGCGGAAUUCGUGGUGUAGCGGUGAAAUGCUUAGAUAUCACGAAGAACUCCGAUUGCGAAGGCAGUUCACUGGACUGCAACUGACACUGAGGCUCGAAAGUGUGGGUAUCAAACAGGAUUAGAUACCCUGGUAGUC